rnacentral:rRNA from 1 species
CUAGCGACUUCAGAGUUUGAUCCUGGCUCAGGAUGAACGCUGGCGGCGUGCUUAACACAUGCAAGUCGAACGGAGCUCCUUGGAUAGAGGUUUCGGCCAAUUGAAUUGGAGCUUAGUGGCGGACGGGUGAGUAACGCGUGAGUAACCUGCCUUGGAGUGGGGAAUAACACAGAGAAAUUUGUGCUAAUACCGCAUGAUGCAGUUGGGUCGCAUGGCCCUGACUGCCAAAGAUUUAUCGCUCUGAGAUGGACUCGCGUCUGAUUAGCUAGUUGGCGGGGUAACGGCCCACCAAGGCGACGAUCAGUAGCCGGACUGAGAGGUUGGCCGGCCACAUUGGGACUGAGACACGGCCCAG